GGAUUAUACUUCAUACACUACCAAAUGCAUGACAACUAUCAAAAGAUAUAACUAUUAAGUUGAUGCAAUUUUCAAAAAGCUAACACGAAGUAUAAAAACAAUUUCAGGGGUUCAGAAACAAGAUCGAAGCGUAAAGUAAACUUUGGGCUAUUUAUCUACGUUUAAAUUUACUGGUUCAACUUAUUGCUCUUCGUGUGGUUUAAUAUAGACACAAGACUUAGACUAUAUUUGUGAACCACUGUGGCCAGUCAAGAAUGAUGGUGUUUUCUAUACCUGACGUAUAACCACGAAGAUUGAAAGUAAAUCGCCAAAGACCAGGCUACUUUGUUAUCUUUAAAAAAUUAGCGUAGAUUUCAAACUUGUCACGUGUUUUGACAUCACUUGUCAAUCAUACUAAUCCACUGCAUUUACCAUUAAAAACAAACGUUUCCAAGAAAACCGAAAUACAAGAAGAAUGGUUCUUUUUUAAACAAAAGCCACAAGUUUAUUAUGUUAAGUUUUGCGUUGGAAAAUAUGUAGACUGUGUGUUUAUUUGUGAUUUAAAAAAAAACAACUUCAAUUUUGUAAAGGAAAAUGGCGUAUCUGAUAUUACUGAAGAUUAUUAUGUUACAAAUGCUUCUACUUGAAGCUAAAUGUGACUUAUCUCUAGCACCAAUGGAUGGGGAGUGUUCAGUUGAUGAUGGAUUGGUACCAAAUAUGACUUCAUGUCAAGAUUUUCUAAUCUGUUUACAAGGUCGAGUAAGACGUCGUGUUCGAUGUGCCAGCGGUCUAAUGUUUGAUGCUAGUAUUGCAAUGUGUAAUUAUGAAAAUGUUGUAAAUUGUGGUUUCCGACCUAAAACUGGUAGUAAGAAGUGUUAUACAGCCAAUGUAAAUGUAACUAUUAAAGCGGAGAAUCUGGCUAUACAACCAAUAUUUCUAAUUGAGACUAAUAUCCAAGCUCCACGACAACCAUUAUAUAACUUUUUAUUAAUGGCUGCCGGUAAAGAUAAAAGAUUUAGUUUUAAGACCAGAAAAGUCGACAAUUAUGGUGAAUUUGUUUCGUCUAUAAAUGGUUUAGAAGGCAGAGAAGCGGACUAUUCUGGCUGGGUUCCUUCAGAUAAAAGAAACAAUCAGAUUAGUAAAGGAAUUCAUGAAGUUUUCCCGGAAGAUGGAGAAGUCAUAACUUUCAAAUUUUACUCGUUUGCUGGGAAUUUGGCGGCGUUGAAGAAUUUACCAGGUCUUGCACCCAAACUGAACAGGAAAUAAAUAAUUAAUCAUACAAUGUGAACGUAGAAUCUUUAUAUAAUGAACUAAUUGCUGUUGCCGAGAAUAUCAAAUGCCAACAAAAUCGAAUUUUCCUGUUUCCGUUCCACUGGGAAAUGACUGACACGCAAUAACCAAUCCCCUUUCCGUGAUAUGAUAACAGUGUUCAAUUGUCACUAUGGGCCGAUCAACUUUAGAACGUGUUGCUGCCAUUACAUCAUAAAGUCUGCCGAUUAAAUAUGCAUUAUGUUAAGAUUUAGAUAAAGAGCUGGUCGCCCUUGCUAUAUAAUAGGUCAAAUGUAGAUAAUGAACAAUGGAUAUCAGAAUUUCAGUCAAAUUACUUUAUUCUGGGCGAAGUUAUGAGUAUUUGAAAUUUUGACAAGAUUGUCUCGAUUGUCAAGUACCAUUUCUACGAUAAUAAACAGUCCUGAUUAUCCAUUUCAACGUUCAAUUUUUGUAUGGCCAUGCUGCUCUAAACAAUUCAACUAAAGAGUUUAUUAUGGGCUUGCGAUGUGAAAAAAUGCCUUAUUUAUAAUUCAUAUAACAUUUGAAGCCCCACAAAAAAGCAGAUUUAGCUCUUUUAUAAUGGUUUAUUAACAUCAAAAACAGAUAUCAAAGUUUAAAUCAACUGUUUAUUAAUAUUUGUAAUUGUAUAAUAUUUGUAUUAUGUAAUAAAUACAUGGAAUGGGG